UACAGAGGGGGCAAGCGUUGUUCGGAAUUACUGGGCGUAAAGGGCGCGUAGGCGGCCUUCUAAGUCGAACGUGAAAUCCCCGGGCUCAACCCGGGAACUGCGUCCGAUACUGGAAGGCUUGAAUCCGGGAGAGGGAUGUGGAAUUCCAGGUGUAGCGGUGAAAUGCGUAGAUAUCAGGAGGAACACCGGUGGCGAAGGCGGGUCUCUGGGCCGAUACUGACGCUGAGGAGCGAAAGCGUGGGGAGCGAACAGG
rnacentral:rRNA from 1 species